GGCAAUGUGGCUUAGUGGUGCUAGAGUGCUUGCCUAGCAUGCAUGAAGCCCUGGGUUCAAUUCCUCAGUACCA
rnacentral:tRNA from 1 species